GGGUCAGUAGGUUGGUCGUGCCACCGGUACGUACUGGUCUCACUGAUUCCUCCUUCCUGAGGAACCGUAAUGCCAUUAAUUUGGUGUUGCGGGGAAACAGGACUGUUACUUUGAAAAAUUAGAGUGUUUAAAGCAAGCUAACGCUUGAAUACAUUAGCAUGGAAUAGUGAAAUAGGACGAUCGAUCCUAUUUUGUUGGUUUCUAGGAUUGACGUA
rnacentral:rRNA from 1 species